CUUGUUAGAAAUCGAGGAGAUGGAAGACGAAUUUGAAGUUGGUGGUUUUGGGGGGAAAUUUUGGUGGAAUCGAGGGUGAUUUUUUGAAAAUAAUGCUACAGUUUCCAAAUUAAUGAUGGAAAACUUUAUAGGGAUGAAAGAGGGGACAAGAAAAAGCAUAGGUUACAGACGGAAAAGUUGGCAGACGGAGAGGAGAGUAAUCAAGAUUAAUCAAGAAUGGAAGUUGAUGAUACUGUUAUCGUUCAACCUGGAAAGUGGAUACUGCACAACAAACGUGGAUGGGAAUUCAAGAUGGACACCAACUUACGGGGACGGUGUGCAAGAUUGUCGUCGUUAAGAUGUUUGAAGGAUCUCGUUGAAAGGAUUCGUGAGAUGUACGGAGGUGUUAGCUCAUCAUGUGGUGUAGGCUUAAGCUAUAUGUUUGAAGACAGACUAGCUCAGCUGAAUGGUUUUGCUACUGCACCAAUAGUAAUCAGGGACGACAGAGAGUUUAGGUGUUUCAAAUCGCUUAGUCUGGCAGAUAAAACCAUAAAUCUAUUUGUUUGUUUCAGAGAAAUGGGUGGACAGAUUAGUGGUUCGGUUGUUGAGAAUGUUGUGGGUGGUGAGGUUUCAGGGCUACUUCAACCUUCAAAAUCAAGUGCUGCUGUACGGACCAUCAACCUCUGGAUGAUACUAUUCAAAAUCAAGUGCUGCUUUAAUUCCUGCAAGGGGUAGCCCUGUGCUUGCUUUGCUAGAGUUUAUAAGGAAAAUGCUAGCUAGGUGGUUUGAGGCGAGGAGGAAAAAAAUAGCAAGAGCGGUUGGUGAUAUUCCAAUAGCAGUUGAAAGGGAGCUAUUAAAGCGUUUCAAAGGAGGAUAAGGUAUGACCGUGUUGGCUGUAGGAAUGUGGGAAUUUGAGGUGAUUACAAAGGAAGGGGGUCAGUUCGUUGUAUCAUUGAAAGACAAAACCUGCACCUGUUUGGAAUUUCAAAAAAUAAAACUACCCUGCACUCACGCUAUGGCUGCAGCUCAUGAUAGGGGUUUGGAGUACAGGACUCUUGUGGGAGAGAUGCACAAGAUAUCAAUAUGGUCUCCAACAGUGGACGCAGCUAUACUACCUGUGCAAGAUCCAGCAGAAGUGAAGUGAUGGUCCCUGACGAAAUAAGGGCUUUGUGUUUGAUCCCACCAAAAUCGAAAAGACCUGCUGGUAGGCCACCUAAGCUGCGUAUACAUUCUGCAGGGGAGUAUGAGGGUAAUAACAAGUCGAAGCAACCAAAUAAAUGUGGACGGUGUGGCGGGUUUGGGCACAACCGGGUUACAUGUUCAAACCCACUUGGUUGAGGAAAGUAUUGUCUUUUUGGAUUAUUAAUGGUAUAUAGCCGUGUGUAUGAGAAGUUUGUUGUAGAAGGUACAAUUAUUUUGGCGUAGACAUCAUUGUGAAAUCGGGAGAGCUCCAGAUUUCAGAGUAAUGUGUACUUCCGUAUGAGUGUUGUAAUUUUCUAGUUGGAAUUGUACGGAUCCUGUACUAAUAUGUGAAUCUUUUGUAAUCAAACUAAAUAUGUGAAAUAUUGUUGUUUUUUUUCAA